rnacentral:rRNA from 1 species
UACGUAGGGGGCAAGCGUUAUCCGGAUUUACUGGGUGUAAAGGGAGCGUAGGCGGCAGUGCAAGUCAGAAGUGAAAGCCCGGGGCUCAACUCCGGGACUGCUUUUGAAACUGUACAGCUUGAUUGCAGGAGAGGCAAGUGGAAUUCCUAGUGUAGCGGUGAAAUGCGUAGAUAUUAGGAGGAACACCAGUGGCGAAGGCGGCUUGCUGGACUGUAAAUGACGCUGAGGCUCGAAAGCGUGGGGAGCAAACAGG